ensembl:lncRNA
AGCUGAAUGAAAUCAAGCGCACCUAAUCUCAAUUGGGAAAUUGGACCAAUGGAAAUUAUGUUCAGUGGCUUGCAGGUGUACCUAAUUAACCAGCCAAAUUAGAAGGGUCUAGGAUUCCUUUGUAAGGCGCAGCAAAAAAGACAAUCAGAUACAAUAUCAGGGAUCUCCUGGUAAGGCUUCUGGCUACCAUUAGUUCUGACUACUGAGGUUUUGAUGAGAAAAAUGGCUGUGAGUUUUGAAAUGUCUUUGAGAAUUUCUUGGAUUUGUUGCCUGCUAAUUGGAGGGAUAACCUGUUAUCCUCCACCUAAAGGUAAUUAUAGAUAUAUUCCCCAAAAUCAAGUAAAAGGAACUGGCCACAAUGCAGCGGAAGCUACUGGCUCCCGUGCCUCGACAGGUGAAGCUACCGGCUCCCGUGCCUCAGCAGGUGAAGCAGCCACCCAUAACGCCUCUGUAAGCGUCACGACUGGCCCAAAUACCUUAGCUGAAGCAACUGGCCACAAUGCUUCAUCAAGCGCCACGACUGUCCCAAAUGCCUUAGGUGAAGCAGCUGGCCACAGGGCCGCGCAAGCCAUCACCCAUAAUGCCUCGGCAAGAAUGGCAACUGGCCCAAAUACCUUAGGUGAAGCAACUGGCCACGGUGCCUCGGCAGCGGAAGCAACUGGACACAGUGCCAUGCAAACGGCCACUCAUAAUGCCUCAGAAGCGGCCAACCACAAUGCCUCUGCAAGCGUCACGACUGGCCCAAAUAUCUUAGGUGAAGCAAAUGGCCACAAUGCUUCAUCAAGCGUCACGACUGGCCCAAAUACCUUGGGUGAAGUAUCCGACUCCCGUGCCUCAGCAGAAGCAGCAACCCAUAAUACCUCAGCAAGCAUCACGACUGGCCCAAAUACCUUGGGUGAAGUAUCCGACUCCCGUGCCUCAGCAGAAGCAGCAACCCAUAAUAUCUCAGCAAGCGUCACGACUGGCCCAAAUACCUUAGCUGAAGCAACUGGCCACAAUGCUUCAUCAAGCGCCACGACUGGCCCAAGUGCCUCAGGUGAAGCAACUGGCCACAGUGCCUCUGCAGAGGAAGCAACUGGCCACAGUGCCACGCAAGCGGCCACCCAUAAUGCCUCGACAAGUGUGGUAGCUGGCCCAAAUACCUUAGCUGAAGCAACUGGCCACAAUGCUUCAUCAAGCGCCACGACUGGCCCAAGUGCCUCAGGUGAAGUAACUGGCCACAGUGCCUCUGCAGAGGAAGCAACUGGCCACAGUGCCACGCAAGCGGCCACCCAUAAUGCCUCGACAAGUGUGGCAGCUGGCCCAAAUACCUUAGGUGAAGCAAUUUGCCACAGUGCUUCAUCAAGCGCCACGACUGGCCUAAAUACCUUCGGUGAAGCAACCGGCCACUUUGCCUCUGCAGCGGAAGCAACCGGCCACGGUACCUCAAGUGCGGAAUCUGGUUCAAAUGCCUCGGCAGAAGCGACAGGCGCCCUUGCCUCGGCAGAAGCGACAGGCGCCCUUGCCUCGGCAGAAGCGACAGGCGCCCUUGCCUCGGCAGAAGCGACAGGCGCCCUUGCCUCGGCAGAAGCGACAGGCGCCCUUGCCUCGGCAGAAGCGACAGGCGCCCUUGCCUCGGCAGAAGCGACAGGCGCCCUUGCCUCGGCAGAAGCGACAGGCGCCCUUGCCUCGGCAGAAGCGACAGGCGCCCUUGCCUCGGCAGAAGCGACAGGCGCCCUUGCCUCGGC